rnacentral:rRNA from 2 species
UAGAUGAUUGGGGUGAAGUCGUAACAAGGUAGCCGUAUCGGAAGGUGCGGCUGGAUCACCUCCUUU